rnacentral:misc_RNA from 1 species
GAUGAAGAACGCAGCAAAAUGCGAUAAGUAAUGUGAAUUGCAGAAUUCAGUGAAUCAUCGAAUCUUUGAACGCACAUUGCGCCCGCUGGUAUUCCGGCGGGCAUGCCCGUUCGAGCGUCAUUUCAACCCUCAAGCCCCCGGGUUUGGUGUUGGGGAUCGGCUCUGCCCUUCUGGGCGGUGCCGCCCCCGAAAUACAUUGGCGGUCUCGCUGCAGCCUCCAUUGCGUAGUAGCUAACACCUCGCAACUGGAACGCGGCGCGGCCAUGCCGUAAAACCCCAACUUCUGAAUGUUGACCUCGGAUCAGGUAGGAAUACCCGCUGAACUUAAGCAUAUCAAUAAGCGGAGGA